rnacentral:rRNA from 1 species
CCCUUGCGCAAGCGAGGGAGUGGCGGACGGGUGAGUAACACGUGGGGAUCUACCUUUCGGUGAGGAAUACCGGCGAGAAACCGCCGACAAGACCGCAUAGGUUCGGAGACGAACAAAGUCGCAAGACGCCGAAAGAUGACCCUGGGGCCGAUUAGCUAGCUGGUGGGGUAACGGCCUACCAGGGCUUCGAUCGGUAGCUGGUCUGAGAGGACGAUCAGCCACACUGGGAUUGAGAACGGCCCAGACUCCUACGGGGGGCAGCAGUGAGGAAUUUUCGUCAAUGGGGGCAACCCUGAACGAGCAACGCCGCGUGCCGGAAGAAGGUCUUCGGAUCGUAAACGGCUUUUCAAGAGGACGAGAAUGAACGGUACUUUUGGAAGAAGCCCCGGCUAACUACGUGCCAGCAGCCGCGGUAAUACGUAGGGGGCGAGCGUUGUCCGGAGUUACUGGGCGUAAAGGGCGCGCAGGCGGUCUGGGAAGUUUGGAGUGACAGUGCUCGGCUUAACUGAGCAAGGCCUUCGAAAACUCUCAGACUUGAGCACUCAAGAGGGACAUAGAAUUCCGGGUGGAGUGGUGAAAUGCGUAGAUAUCCGGAGGAAUACCAAAGGCGAAGGCAGUGUCCUGGGGAGUGUCUGACGCUCAGGCGCGAAAGCUAGGGGAGCGAACAGGAUUAGAUACCCUGGUAGUCCUAGCCGUAAACGAUGACCACCAGGUGUGCGGAGUAUCGACCCUCUGCGUGCCGGCGUUAACAUUAUAAGUGGUCCGCCUGGGAGUACGGUCGCAAGAUUAAAACUC